rnacentral:rRNA from 1 species
AUUGAACGCUGGCGGCAUGCCUUACACAUGCAAGUCGAACGGUAACGGGCCUUCGGGUGCCGACGCGUGGCGGACGGGUGGGUAAUACAUCGGAACGUGCCCGAUCGUGGGGGAUAACGAGGCGUAAGCUUUGUUAAUACCGCAUACGAUCUAAGGAUGAAAGCCGGGGACCGCAAGGGCUUGCGCGGACGGAGCGGCCGAUGGCAGAUUAGGUAGUUGGUGGGAUAAAAGGUUACCAAGCCGACGAUCUGUAGCUGGUCUGAGAGGAUGAUCAGCCACACUGGGACUGAGACACGGACCAGACUCCUGCGGGAGGCAGCAGUGGGGAAUGUUGGACAAUGGGCGCAAGCCUGAUCCAGCCAUGCCGCGUGCAGGAUGAAGACGUUCGGGUUGUAAACUGCUUUUGUACGGAACGAAAAGCCUUCUUUUAAUACAGGAGGGUCAUGACGGUACCGGAAGAAUAAGCACCGGCUAACUACGUG